rnacentral:rRNA from 1 species
AACGAACACUGGCGGCAGGCUUAACACAUGCAAGUCGAGCGCCCCGCAAGGGGAGCGGCAGACGGGUGAGUAACGCGUGGGAAUCUACCCAUCUCUACGGAAUAACGCAUGGAAACGUGUGCUAAUACCGUAUACGUCCUUCGGGAGAAAGAUUUAUCGGAGAUGGAUGAGCCCGCGUUGGAUUAGCUAGUUGGUGGGGUAAAGGCCUACCAAGGCGACGAUCCAUAGCUGGUCUGAGAGGAUGAUCAGCCACACUGGGACUGAGACACGGCCCAGACUCCUACGGGAGGCAGCAGUGGGGAAUAUUGGACAACGGGCGCAAGCCUGAUCCAGCCAUGCCGCGUGAGUGAUGAAGGCCCUAGGGUUGUAAAGCUCUUUCACCGGUGAAGAUAAUGACGGUAACCGGAGAAGAAGCCCCGGCUAACUUCGUGCCAGCCGCCGCGGUAACAC